UACCUACAGGCAGUAAUUGCCUCCCUUGCAGCUUCAAUGCAAUGCUCUCGUAUAAGCUAUGUAAGU
rnacentral:tRNA from 1 species